GUUAAUAGUUUAUGCUAAUAGCACUGGUCUUACAGGAUGGAGGGAUUCAAUACUUUGAUAUGUACCUUCUCCGUUAAAUCAACUUAAACUGUAUUCAUCCACUAAUGUAAAUCCUUUGUAGAACUUUUUCAGAGAGAUCAUGCAGGCAUCGUUAAAAUCGGCUUUAGGGCUAUAUUACUAGAUCAUAGAACUUUAUAAAAGAUAUGUAAGCUCUCGGUCUAAAAAU